UGAACUAGAGGAGCUUUAAUCGGCUGAGAGGAGAUUCGUUCUCGACUCUUAUUACCUGAACCGGAUAAUACCGGCGUAGGAAAGUUAUGAAGAAA
rnacentral:ncRNA from 1 species